rnacentral:rRNA from 1 species
AUUGAACGCUGGCGGCAUGGCUAAAACAUGCAAGUCGAACGAUCCCUUCGGGGAGAGUGGCGAAAGGGCGAGGAAUAGAAUCGAAUGUACCCCAAGGUGGGGGAUAGCCUCUGGAAACGGAGGGUAAUACCCCAUGUGCUCUACGGAGGAAAGGUUUACCGCCUUGGGAGCAGCGAUUCUCCUAUCAGGUAGUUGGUGAGGUAACGGCUCACCAAGCCGAAGACGGGUAGCGGGUGUGAGAGCAUGACCCGCCGCAUCGGGACUGAGACACUGCCCGGACUCCUACGGGAGGCUGCAGUAACGAAUCUUCCGCAAUGGGCGAAAGCCUGACGGAGCAAUGCCGCGUGUGGGAUGAAGCAUCUUCGAUGUGUAAACCACUGUCAGGGUCUAGGAAUACUGACCAGACCCAAAGGAAGGGCCGGCUAAUUCCGUG